GUCUACGGCCAUACCACCCUAAAUACGCCCGAUCUUGUCUGAUCUCAGAAGCUAAGCAGGGUCGGGCCUGUUUAGUACUUGGAUAGGAGAUCACCUAGGAAGACCUGGUGCUGUAGGCA
rnacentral:rRNA from 1 species